rnacentral:rRNA from 1 species
AGAGUUUGAUCCUGGCUCAGGAUGAACGCUAGCUACAGGCUUAACACAUGCAAGUCGAGGGGCAGCAUUAUCGGAGCUUGCUUUGAUAGAUGGCGACCGGCGCACGGGUGAGUAACGCGUAUCCAACCUUCCCCUUAGUAGAGGAUAGCCCGGCGAAAGUCGGAUUAAUACUCUAUGUUGUAUUUUGAGGACAUCUGACGAAUACCAAAGAUUUAUCGCUAAGGGAUGGGGAUGCGUCUGAUUAGCUUGUCGGCGGGGUAACGGCCCACCGAGGCAACGAUCAGUAGGGGUUCUGAGAGGAAGGUCCCCCACAUUGGUACUGAGACACGGACCAAACUCCUACGGGAGGCAGCAGUGAGGAAUAUUGGUCAAUGGGCGAGAGCCUGAACCAGCCAAGUAGCGUGCAGGAUGACGGCCCUAUGGGUUGUAAACUGCUUUUGGAGGGGAAUAAAGUGGCGUACGUGUACGCCUUUGUAUGUACCCUCAGAAUAAGGACCGGCUAAUUCCGUGCCAGCAGCCGCGGUAAUACGGAAGGUCCGGGCGUUAUCCGGAUUUAUUGGGUUUAAAGGGAGCGCAGGCCGCCGAUUAAGCGUGACGUGAAAUGUCCCGGCUCAACCGGGGAGUUGCGUCGCGAACUGGUUGGCUUGAGUGCGGACGAGGUAUGCGGAAUUCGUGGUGUAGCGGUGAAAUGCUUAGAUAUCACGAAGAACCCCGAUUGCGAAGGCAGCGUACCAGGCCGUAACUGACGCUAAUGCUCGAAGGUGCGGGUAUCGAACAGGAUUAGAUACCCUGGUAGUCCGCACGGUAAACGAUUAAAGGCCGCUGUUUGCGAUAUAGUGUAAGCGGCCAAGCGAAAGCGUUAAGCAUCCCCACUCUGAG